rnacentral:rRNA from 1 species
GUACGGGUGAGUAACACGUGGAUUAUCUACCCUCUAGUGGGGAAUACGUUGGGAAACCGACGACAAUACCGCAUAAGCUCGAGAGAGGAAAGCAGCAAUGCGCUGGAGGAGGAGUCCGCGGUCGAUUAGUUAGUUGGCAGGGUAAAAGCCUACCAAGACUGUGAUCGAUAGCCGGCCUGAGAGGGCACACGGCCACACUAGGCACUGAAACACGGGCCAGACUCCUACGGGAGGCAGCAGUGGGGAAUCUUGCACAAUGGAGGAAACUCUGAUGCAGCGACGCCGCGUGAGCGGUGAAGCCCUUCGGGGUGUAAAGCUCUUUCGGCAGGGAAGAUAAUGACGGUACCUGCAGAAGCAGCUGCGGCUAACUACGUGCCAGCAGCCGCGGUAAUACGUAGGCAGCAAGCGUUGUUCGGAGUUACUGGGCGUAAAGGGUGCGUAGGCGGUUUUUAAGUUUGGUGUGAAAUCUCCCGGGCUCAAUGGGAGGGUGCGCCGAAAUACUUGAGAGGCUAGAGUGUGGGAGAGGGAAAGUGGAAUUCC